GUGUUCACUUUGCCAGCACAUGUAAUAAAAUUGAAAUGAUACAGAGAAGAUUAGCAUGGCCCUACAUAAAGAUGUAGAACAUUCCGUAAUUUUU
ensembl:snRNA U6 U6 spliceosomal RNA